rnacentral:lncRNA from 1 species
GUAGGCAUUUUCCAUGGUGCCAGAGCCCGCAUCAUUAAAACGUGUGAUCAUUGUGAACAGUGAGAUGUACCUGCCAGAUACAGGACCUCUUUGCCUAUCCUCCACCUCUGCCCUGCAUGUGAGUGUGUAUAUAGAUGUGGAGAUACACACACUUCAAGUGCCCAAGAAGUCAUCAAUGGAAGGAGGAACCAUUAUUUUCAUACGUCACUAAGAAGUAAAGGUGCCACAGACAAGGAGUGUAGUGGAAGACCCCUACGUAAGGUCAGUAAUACUUCCAAGUGACUGGUGGGGCAAAUGAAGAUUCUCUUUGGAAGGUGUCGCCAAUCUAGACCAAGAGUGGUUAGCAGCUUUGCUGUUGUCCCCAGUGACUCCCAGGGCUGCCAGUGCUGCACCAGGAAUCACUGGCCUUCGGUGAUGCUACCAUUCCUCACUUUCGUGUAUCACUCUGCAAUCUACAAAUGUUUCUUAUCCAUCAACUCAGUUGACCAGUUGUGAUAUGAAAUGGAUGGGACAGAUAUUGGUCCUGUUUUACCAGGGUUGUGCCUGCAGCUCAGAGAGGUUAGAUCUGCUCCGGGGCCACCAGCAAGUAAGAAGCAGAGCAGAACCACACCUGAAACCAAAUCUCAUGAGUUAGACACCUGAGCUAGAUUCUUCAGAUGGGCCUUAGAAUAUGUUCUGGGC